UGUUUAAUGACUAAGGAAGGUCCCUGUUGCCCCCAGGGGCUGUGAGCAACACCAUGGCUGCCCCAGGGCUGGCCAAUUGGGCAGAUGCCCAGGGGCUGAGAACA
ensembl:snoRNA